AGAUGUCUGGAAGUCUGGAAUGUGUCUGGGGACACUACUUGUUGCACUAUGACCAUUAAUUGCACAUUAUUAUGUUGUUCUAUGCUCUAUUGCACAUGUUUUGUAUGUCUUGUUAUGACAUUUUGAUAUUUUUCAAAUUAAAACAUGUGUCAAGUUAAAGUACAUGGAAUCUUAGAAAAUCCUUUUUUUUUACAGUGGUAUCGAAAUCGGCAUCGAGAAUCGUGUUAUUUUACUGGUAUUGGCACCGACUACUGAAUUUUUGGUAUUGUGACACCCCUAAAGUGAAUCAAACA